CGCAAAAGAAAACGCCACACACAAUAUUAAAUGAAGUUAACUGUUGACACAAUACAGUAACUUGAGCUAUUUAAAUUAGCUGGAUACAUGGUUAAACGUAAUUUGCUCUUACCAGUGUAUCGCCGUGUGUAUUUCGUCUACAGCAAAUCCCACCAGCCUGUCCCAAAACGUCCCAGUUAGAGACAGGAAACGCCAUAAACA